CAGAGUCUCCUGAGCUAAGGCUGGCCUUGAUUUUUCUAUAUAUGUGGGAAUGACCCUGAAUAUAUGAUCCUCCUGCCUCCAGUCCCAGGUAGAGGUCACAGGUGUGUAUCUGCAGCAGCGCUUCUAAGUGCUGAGGAGUGGGCCGUGGAAUAGGCUCAGCAUCACUCAGCUAGAAAAGAGACCUAUGAAGAUGCAAGAGAGGCUUUCCCUCGGAUGUCUGACUGACAGGGUGGGGGACACUGUCUACGAGCCAUGCUGAUGGUUCUAGUAAGGAACCCAGCACUGGGAGUUGGAGCUUGGAGGACCCAGAAGACAGGCGUGGCUGGACCUUAGAGGGUGACACACAGAGACCAGUAAGCCUCCUCAGUCCAUCUGGGGAGUGGCACCACUUCAUCCUGCAUGGAAAGAGUAAUUUUCCUCAGGAAAAGCCAACUCGGUGAAGAAGGAGUAUGGGAGGAGCCUCGGGGUCUGGGGGCCACAGGGUGGACUUUCUCCCGCCUCAGCAGAGUCAGAACAGCGUCUUGGGAGGGGUGGCCCUGCAGCGAGAACAGCUAUGGCGAAGAUGGGUCCACAGCAAAGACUGGCCAAGGGAGGAGCAAACCAGAGGCCCUGGAGUGUGCUGUGGCCUUUCACCAAGCCUUUUGCACAGGUUGAAUGUCAGCUGUCUGACCAGCCAGAUGGGAUCCCUGAAAGGGCUUAUCUACGGAUGCUCCUGAGGCCUCCCACGGCUGAUGGUGAAGUGGUUAACUGGAGUUUGGGGAACCCCUGGGCAAACCCACUGUUGUGGGGUAUGCUGAAAUCAAGAAGGUGGAAGGAAUGCCAGAUCACACAGAAGGCCACAGACUGCAGCAAGCGAGCUGGAAAACAGGCUUAUCAGUGUUUACCCAGCGUGGCCCAAACCUCCGCAUGACCUCAGAGACAGCAGCGUGUUGACAGAACGUGGACGGCAGGCUGGACACUAGCUUCCUGCCUUCACAGUGGCAGAGAUGGCACUGGGGGACUCAGCCAGUAAAACAACUUCCAAGCUGACCAAUCAUCACGCAGCAGCCACCAACCUCUGAAGAUACCCAGGGAUAACACGCGUCCCACACCCAGAACUGCUCAGAGUAAUCACAGAGGGGACGAGGCCCAGGCAUCCACGUCCAUGCAAGCGGGACUACAUGCUAGGUCAUGAAGACGGUGCACCCUGGACUCUGACUGAGUCUUGACAUCCAAAGCAUCUCUGCUACGCGCUGAGUGAAAUGACCCACCUGGAAUGGAAGCUUAAUGAGGAAGCUCACUGAGAUCCCUGGAGCGCCAGGCUACUCAGACAAAAGGGGUUGUAGGCUGGCCAGGACCAUGGACCAACAUGACUAUCCUACUGCAAAGACUGACCACGGGAAAAGCCUGUGCUCCAGAAACCUGGGAGUGCACACUAUGGCCCAGGAAGUCUGGAGGGAACUGGUUGGCAUGUUAAGAGAAAACAUGCCAGAAAAAAGCAACAGUACAAAAAGAAAAAAAGAAAGGAAGAAAGAAAGAAAGAGAGAAAGAAAGCAAGCAAAGACUAUGAGUAAUUCCUCCUUCUGGUGUACUAUACUUUAUUUAAAACCCAAAGACUUAGUUUUCAUAAUCUCUAACCAAAGCCAGCCUCUUUCUAUGAUACUUAUUGAAGUAACCAACAAGCAGGCAAGCUACCCAGAAGCAGGUUAACUCGUAUGAACCCCCAGCACAGCCAGGGGCCCAGCCACUCCAUCUGGUGCCCUGCGGCUGAGCACAGGACUUUAGAAUCUAAUCAUCAGCGGGAUCAGAGAGAGUCCGGGACCACCAGCACCUACCUGGGGCUGCGGCCGUCGCCUCCGCUUUGUCUGGAACAAGCCUGAUGCCAUCGGACACGUCCACUUGGUGAUCGGCCUCCUCCUUUGCGCCCCCAUUGUGCUGCUGUAAGGGAGGACUGCUGUGGCCACAUUCCUUGCACAAGACGAAGCACCAGCAGUCGGACAUGAGGCUGGGGCAGCAAAGGAAAUGAGGUCAAGGUGCAGGAAGAUGGAAGACUUAUUUCUCUGAAUAAGAACAAACCCACCAGCUACGUUAGCGUUUAUUCCAAAGGGGCUGUAACAUGUGUGAAGUUAAGCUUAUUCCCCGAAUUUCAACAGCUUGUAGCAAGCUGUCUUCACAGACAAAAAAAAAAAAAAAAAAAAAAAAGGCCCCAAACAACAAAACCCACCUGUCACUUAUAUAUACUGAAAUAGGGGUUGUAUAAGAAAAACAGUACUUACUUCUUCAACGUAAAAGGGGAAAAGGAGAAAAACCUAGACUUUCUUGACAUUUAGUUUCUUGUUUCAAGGACAAGCUUGUGCCAGCUCCCUGGCUUUCCAGGUCUGCCUCACUGGCCGGGCAGGCUGUCAAAGCCGGGCUUGUGGCUUUUCAGAUUACUCAAAAUAUUUUUUAAGCAAAGCAAAGGGCUCCUAGGUCCAGAACAAACAUUAUUGUGGGAAACUCUGGCAAACACCGUGGUAAAGCUCCCUUGGGAAGCGAUCUUGAAUUUAAAGAGAAAGCAACACCCUUUCCGAGGCACCAGGACUACUUUCGCCUGCCCCAGGUGACUGCCCGCUGGGGUCUCUGGGGCACUCAGCACAGGGAAGGCGCCACGGGACUCCUCUCUGUUGGCUUAGUGCCCGCAGGCCCUUCCGAGAGCAGAAGUGGAACGUAUAGUCUAUCUUAUCUUUCACAGUGCCCCUUUGGUUUUGCCCUCUGGCUCGGAUGCCCCUGCCUCAGGCUACAGACCCCUUCCUUCCCCAGUUCCAUCUUGGAAGAGGCCACUGUCUGCAGGAGACUUUCUCAUGGACAGGUUGGAUGGUUAAGAUCCCAACUUCAAAAUUCCUGUCAAGCUCCUUGUUAACACAGGCCUUGCCUCUCUUCAGAGGAAACCCACACCAUGGUCAACGGCCUUGCUUUGCUCUGGCAUUGCUUCCUGUCCCUCCUGGAGUCUGACCACCCAUGGGUGGAGAUUUGUACUGAGAUGUCUAGCUCUAGCCAUGUGAUAGAGGUGCCUAGAGCCUCUCCCAACCUCUGUUGACAGUGUGACUCCUUCAGGUGGGAAGCAGGCUGCCUGGCCAGGGAAUGCCAUGAUCCAGUGAGAGAGCCAAGCUGGAUGCUGAAUGCUCUGAUGUGGGGUAAAGAAGCCAAGCAGCAGAGGUGCAGGAUUGCCAACUGCAUGGGCCACGUGAACCCCUCAGAUGGCCUGGAGCCAAGAAUUCCAUUGAUCAUCGGCCUAUCGCAGCAAAGCCUGAAGACCACUCUUCACUAGAAACCACUCAUGUAUAUUCAACAUGUUCCCUCAGGCCAUGGACCAGGGUCGUCAGUGUGGCUUUACAUUCAGAUCUUCCAGAGAGCCCCCAUAUGCUCAAAAAUGGAGGUGGAGUAGUGAUCAUACCUGCCCCCUGCCCCCACUUCAGUAUAGUAUAUUCUGUUUCUCACAAUACCUGUACAGUGUGACCCCCUGCCCAACAGACAUGUGUGCUUUGAACCAUGGUUUCUGUUAGUAGAAAGUGUGUGAGCAACUACAUGAUACUACACAGAUUUGUAAGAACACAGAGAGGUGCAUCUUUUCAGUCAUUGGAAUGAAGUCUCCUAGGGAAAGACCCGGUGUAUCAGGACUGCCCACAGAAAUCCCAGGAACAAUC